rnacentral:rRNA from 1 species
UAGGACUCCCAACAAUGGAUAUCUUGGCUCUCGCAUCGAUGAAGAGCGCAGCGAAAUGCGAUACGUGGUGCGAAUUGCAGAAUCCCGUGAACCAUCGAGUUUUUGAACGCAAGUUGCGCCUGAGGCCAACUGGCCAAGGGCACGUCCGCCUGGGCGUCAAGC